AAAUUAUGUGGGAGGAGCAGGAGGAAGAAGAGAGAUACUACUACAGUUAGCAGGAGAAGGAAUGCCAGCUUUCCCACCCUUUCUCCCAACUUUUUAAACAUAUUUUACUUACUUUUCUUAAAUGUAAAAUCUAUUAUCAGGCUUGGGAAAAAGGACAGAACUGAAGUCUUCCACCUCUGAAGUAAAUGCCAAAGCAAUUAGGCUAGAGAGUCAUGUUUCCCUUUGUGUACUGCUGAAAUCACGCAUUCCUGUGGGCCAGCUUCAGCAGGAAAGGCAAAGAGAGCUUUUCUCUCUGCUCAUUCCUAGCCUCAAGGUCAGGGUGGUCCCUUGAGAGUCUGUAGCUGCAGCUGAUAACUCCAGGCUGAGGAGGGUCUUACAGACAGGUACUGCUCUUCUGGUGCACUCAUCUGGUGCUUCUUCCCUGGGUCAUGUACCUGAAGGACUUCAAAAAUGUAUUCUUGGAGCCAAAAAUAUGCCCCAUUGCUAACCAACAGGCCAAGCAUCCACUUUAAACAGAACUACUGUUGGAAGACAACCAUCUUAUGCUAUGGAUAGCAUGAGACUGAGUUCACAAAAGCUGCUGUGAGGCACCUAUGUUCCCUUUCACCAGUUCAGCCCAAUGAUUUGCAGCCUCAAGAUAUAUCUCCUAGGUAUGAAAAAAUGGGAAAGACUCAACAAGUUCUGCAGAUGUCUGAUCCACCAUCAGUUGUUAAAUACGGGAGAAGAAAUAAGUGGAUUGGGGGAAGGGGAAGAGUUCCCUUUAAUCUAUUACUUAAACUAAUGUUUAUGAUCUUUGAGUAAUGAGGUAUUAAAAUCUGAAUAUUUGA